rnacentral:rRNA from 1 species
GAUGAACGCUGGCGGCGUGCUUAACACAUGCAAGUCGAACGGUGAAGGCGGAGCUUGCUCUGCUGGAUCAGUGGCGAACGGGUGAGUAACACGUGAGCAAUCUGCCCCUGACUCUGGGAUAAGCGCUGGAAACGGCGUCUAAUACUGGAUACGAGCUGCGAAUUCAUCUUCAGCAGCUGGAAAGGACUUCGGUCAGGGAUGAGCUCGCGGCCUAUCAGCUUGUUGGUGAUGUAACGGCUCACCAAGGCUUCGACGGGUAGCCGGCCUGAGAGGGUGACCGGCCACACUGGGACUGAGAAACGGCCCAGACUCCUACGGGAGGAAGCAGUGAGGAAUAUUCGAAAAUGGGCGAAAGCCUGAUGCAGCAACGCCGCGUGAGGGACGACGGCCGUCGGGUUGUAAACCUCUUUUAGCAGGGAAGAAGCGAAAGUGACGGUACCUGCAGAAAAAGCGACGGCUAACUACGUG